rnacentral:lncRNA from 1 species
AACCGUGGUCAAAGGAAAUCACCAAGCACAUGAAUAAAACACAGGACUACAGUUCACCAAAGUACAUUUUUAUUUUCAAAUACUUCUCCACAGUCUGCAAGAAAAGCUUAUGCUCAACUAAGUGAUAAACUUAUUCCUAAAAUAAUUAACCUAUUUGGUGAACAGUCAUGAGCCCCUUCUGCAUUGGAAGCUAUUUACUCUAAAGGAGCUGUUCCAUGCAGAUUGGCACAUCAUUCAGUAAAACACAGAUUACAGUGGGACUGUCUCCAGAAAAUCUUGCAUUGGAGGCUCUUCUUAGUUAUUUUAGCUGAAGAUGUAAGAGAUAAACAUCCAUAUACCUUUGUGCCAAAGGAAGGUUUUAGCGAAUUACUUUUGUUCAAAUGUCGUCCUGAAAAAAACUGCUGUGCCUUUGCUGCCUAGACUGAUUUCUGUGAUAAAAUAAUUGCUGGUCCAUUCAGAUGAUGAAGGUUUGAAAGAGGAUUGAACGUAAUGGUACACCUAAGUGUCAUUGGUUAGUCCUUCUCUAAAUGAUCACCUGAAAUUACUGCUUACAAGUCCUUCCAAGAAACUAAUGGAUAAUAAAUUCAAAGAGCCAGUUGCUAGUGAAUUACAAAAGCUGGAGCAGCAUGAUGGAAAUGGAAGUGCCGUCAUCAUCAAAUCUAAAAUUCCAACAUAUU